rnacentral:snoRNA from 1 species
UGCAAAUGAUGCUAAAAUCAAGGACUGUUUCUCAUAAAAACUAUAGUUGCCGUCUAAGAUCUUUCGCCCUGCUAGGUUUGAGAGCUGUUGCCAUAAAUCCUUUCCUUGGAUGUCUGAUGCA